GAUGAACGCUGGCGGCGUGCUUAACACAUGCAAGUCGAACGAGAAGAGAUGAGAAGCUUGCUUCUUAUCAAUUCGAGUGGCAAACGGGUGAGUAACGCGUGAGCAACCUGCCUUUCAGAGGGGGGAUAACAUUUGGAAACAGAUGCUAAUACCGCAUAAGAUUACAGUACCGCAUGAUACAGUGAUCAAAGGAGCAAUCCGCUGAAAGAUGGGCUCGCGUCCGAUUAGAUAGUUGGCGGGGUAACGGCCCACCAAGUCGACGAUCAGUAGCCGGACUGAGAGGUUGACCGGCCACAUUGGGACUGAGAUACGGCCCAGACUCCUACGGGAGGCAGCAGUGGGGAAUAUUGGGGCAAUGGACGCAAGUCUGACCCAGCAACGCCGCGUGAAGGAAGAAGGCUUUCGGGUUGUAAACUUCUUUUAAGGGGGAAGAGCAGAAGACGGUACCCCUUGAAUAAGCCACGGCUAACUACGUG
rnacentral:rRNA from 1 species